rnacentral:rRNA from 1 species
UACGGAGGGUGCAAGCGUUGUCCGGAUUUAUUGGGUUUAAAGGGUGCGUAGGCGGCCGAUUAAGUCUGGGGUGAAAGCCCACUGCUCAACAGUGGAACUGCCCUGGAAACUGGUUGACUUGAGUACAGACGAGGGUGGCGGAAUGGAUACUGUAGCGGUGAAAUGCAUAGAUAGUAUCCAGAACACCGAUUGCGAAGGCAGCUGCCUGGACUGUAACUGACGCUGAGGCACGAAAGCGUGGGGAGCGAACAGG